AUUGAACGCUGGCGGCAGGCCUAACACAUGCAAGUCGAGCGGAUGAAGGGAGCUUGCUCCUGGAUUCAGCGGCGGACGGGUGAGUAAUGCCUAGGAAUCUGCCUGGUAGUGGGGGAUAACGUCCGGAAACGGGCGCUAAUACCGCAUACGUCCUGAGGGAGAAAGUGGGGGAUCUUCGGACCUCACGCUAUCAGAUUAGCCUAGGUCGGAUUGGCUAGUUGGUGGGGUAAAGGCCUACCAAGGCGACGAUCCGUAACUGGCCUGAGAGGAUGAUCAGCCACACUGGAACUGAGACACGGUCCAGCCUCCUACGGGAGGCAGCAGUGGGGAAUAUUGGACAAUGGGCGAAAGCCUGAUCCAGCCAUGCCGCGUGUGUGAAGAAGGUCUUCGGAUUGUAAAGCACUUUAAGUUGGGAGGAAGGGCAGUAAGUUAAUACCUUGCUGUUUUGACGUUACCAACAGAAUAAGCACCGGCUAACUUCGUG
rnacentral:rRNA from 1 species